rnacentral:tRNA from 1 species
AAGUUAGAGAGCGAUUUAAUUUAUGACCCCGGCCUUGGGGCCUUGGGGUCUUGGGGAUGGGAGUUUAAUUUCCCCCCUUAAUUUUG